UCCAGACUCCUACGGGAGGCAGCAGUGGGGGAUAUUGCACAAUGGGGGGAACCCUGAUGCAGCGACGCCGCGUGGGUGAAGGAGCGUUUCGGCGCGUAAAGCCCUAUCGGCAGGGAAGAAGGAGGACGGUACCUGACUAAGAAGCCCCGGCUAACUACGUGCCAGCAGCCGCGGUAAUACGUAGGGGGCAAGCGUUAUCCGGAUUUACUGGGUGUAAAGGGGGCGCAGACGGCAGCGCAAGCCAGGAGUGAAAGCCCGGGGCCCAACCCCGGGACUGCUCUUGGAACUGCGCGGCUGGAGUGCAGGAGAGGCAGGCGGAAUUCCUGGUGUAGCAGUGAAAUGCGUAGAUAUCAGGAGGAACACCGGUGGCGAAGGCGGCCUGCUGGACUGCGACUGACGUUGAGGCCCGAAAGCGUGGGGAGCAAACAGGAUUAGAUACCCCGGAGC
rnacentral:rRNA from 1 species